CGGCGCACGGGUGCGUAACACGUGGAUAAUCUGCCCUUGAAUUCGGGAUAACCUUCCGAAAGGUUGGCUAAUACCGGGUAAGCUCACGGUGACUUCGGUCGCUGUGGGAAAAGUAGACCUCUGUUUACAAGUUUACGUUUGAGGAUGAGUCCGCGGCCCAUCAGCUAGUUGGCGGGGUAAUGGCCCACCAAGGCUACGACGGGUAGCUGGUCUGAGAGGACGAUCAGCCACACUGGAACUGAGACACGGUCCAGACUCCUACGGGAGGCAGCAGUGGGGAAUUUUCCACAAUGGGCGAAAGCCUGAUGGAGCAACGCCGCGUGUGUGAUGAAGGUCUUCGGAUCGUAAAGCACUUUCGACCGGGACGAAAAACCUCUGGCUAACAUCCAGGGGCCUGACGGUACCGGGAGAAGAAGCACCGGCUAACUCUGUGCCAGCAGCCGCGGUAAUACAGAGGGUGCAAGCGUUGUUCGAAAUUAUUGGGCGUAAAGCGCGUGUAGGCGGCUUGGCAAGUCAGAUGUGAAAGCCCAUGGCUUAACCAUGGAAGUGCGUCUGAAACUGCUGAGCUUGAGUGCCGGAGAGGAUGGCGGAAUUCCGCAAGUAGAGGUGAAAUUCGUAGAUAUGCGGAGGAACACCGGUGGCGAAGGCGGCCAUCUGGACGGCAACUGACGCUGAGACGCGAAAGCGUGGGGAGCAAACAGGAUUAGAUACCCUGGUAGUC
rnacentral:rRNA from 1 species